rnacentral:rRNA from 1 species
UACGGAGGGUGCAAACGUUGCUCGGAAUCAUUGGGCGUAAAGCGCACGUAGGCGGCCUGUUAAGUCGGGUGUGAAAGCCCUGGGCUCAACCCAGGAAGUGCACUCGAAACUGACGGGCUUGAAUAUGGAAGAGGGUCGCGGAAUUCCCGGUGUAGAGGUGAAAUUCGUAGAUAUCGGGGAGGAACACCAGUGGCGAAGGCGGCGACCUGGGCCAAUAUUGACGCUGAGGUGCGAAAGCGUGGGGAGCAAACAGG